rnacentral:lncRNA from 1 species
UAAAUUCAUUAUCAGAAUAUAAGUAUUCAAUUAGUAAAAAUCAUAAAAUAUUUUAUAAAAAUAUAACAAUAAUACCAUAUAUCUUUAAAAAAAUUAUUGAAUACAAUAAAAUUUAAAGAAAAUGAUUAUAAAUAAAUCUUUUUAGAUUAUAAAAAAAGUGACGUCAAAAUUUAAAAAAUAAAAUAUGAGGUUGAUUUUACAUAGCAAGCUUUUAGCCACAAAGGAGAAAAUCCAACAUAAAAAAAGAAGAAGAAAAAUUUAAUAGAAAAACUAAACUUUAAUAUUUUCUUAGAAAUAAAUUAUAGAAAAUAAUGUUUUAA